AUACAGCAGGCCUGUCACCUGACACUUCACUGUCACAUGACAUCAUGCACCUGCCAUGUUUGAAGGAUAAAGUGUAGCACAUCCAUACUUUCUUGCACAAGCUUGCAGUUGUUCUGACAUUUGAGUCCAGACUAUUCAGAACAUCGUUAGCAUCCCUCUCCGCUCCACCACCUCCUCACCCGAGGGUCCAGUAAAGCAGACCGUGACACACUCUGGUGAUUUGGAUAACAAAUAACCUUGGAGAACCUGCUGGAUGGGGAACAUGGCUUACCAGCAGCCACAGACAGAACCUCCUGCAGUCCAUCUUACUGUCAGUUCUAGUUAAGAACAGGAGGAAGUGCUUCAGACCGCCAUGAAACCAGAGUCCGUGAGAGGCUCUAAUUGCAAAGUGGGACAGAGUCAAUAAGGAGA
ensembl:lncRNA